rnacentral:rRNA from 1 species
GAUGAACGCUGGCGGCGUGCCUAAUACAUGCAAGUCGAGCGAACAGACGAGGAGCUUGCUCCUCUGAUGUUAGCGGCGGACGGGUGAGUAACACGUGGAUAACCUACCUAUAAGACUGGGUUAACUUCGGGAAACCGGAGCUAAUACCGGAUAACAUGUUGAACCGCAUGGUUAAACAGUGAAAGACGGUCUUGCUGUCACUUAUAGAUGGAUCCACGCCGCAUUAGCUAGUUGGUAAGGUAACGGCUUACCAAGGCAACGAUGCGUAGCCGACCUGAGAGGGUGACCGGCUAGAUCUGGAACGCGGCACGGCCCAGACUCGUACGCGAGGCAGGAGUAGGGAAUGCUCGGCAAGGGGGGAAGCCCUGACCGCGCAACGCCGCGUGAGUGAGGACGGCCUUCGGGUUGCAAAGUUCUGUUGUAAGAGAAGAACGGUAGAUAGAGAAGAUCGAAAUGACGGUACCUUACCAGAAAGCCACGGCUAACUACGUG